ACCGUGCGGGCCGCGCGCCGAGCCGAGCGCCGGGAGGAAGGGCGGCCGCGGCCACCGGCGGGGACGGGGCGGGGGGGGGGGGGGCUGCGUGCGACACGCGCCUUUCUCCGCCCUGCGCCGCCCGCCCGGCCCCCGGCCCCGCCGUCCGCGGAGCUGCUCUGAUCCCCGCGUCGGGGCUGCUGAUUGUUUGCCUCCCAGACGGGCUGGCUCGGUGCAAUUUCCAGACGCCUCUCUGGGCCGGGCCCUGGGGGAGCGGGGAGGAACCUGUUGCCCCGCAGCCAGGCCCCGAACCCCUCCUCCUCGGCCCUCCUGGCCCGCGCGGUGGGGCAGGGGCGGUGACCCCAUUUUGCAGGUGGCAAGACUGAGGGGCGAAGGCCCUUGGCCAGAAGCACAUCAGGAGAACUUAACAGAACUAGCAGAAAUGGGAGAACGCCUAUCGGCCCCUGUCGUUCCUCAGGGUGAGGCUCUGGGCUCAGGAGUGGACAGACAAUCUCCCUCUUUGGCCGCCUGCGUCCUCCGUCCUCCGGUGAGGAAAUGGCAGUCUUCAAGGAUCUGCAAGGAUGACAAAUCCAAAGAAGUGAAGUGGCUCAGCCAGGAGAACCACAAAAUACAAGAUGGUAGACGCAAGACCGUUCCCUCAAAUUUGGAUGAAGAUGUUGGUAACGUCGGCCUGUCAGGGUGAUCGGGGCCCAGCUGGGAUGGAAAAGCUUCCGGUGACAAGGGACUGUGACCGCAGCAGCACCCCUCCGCCGGGCGGGGGGCACAGGGGGCCUCCUCAGGCCUGUGCAUCUGGGCGCAGGACGAGCAAGACACGGGCUAUGCCUUGGAGGGACUGACACUGGAGCGAGGGAAGAGCCCAGCGUGCAGCUUAGCACCACGCCUCGAGGCAGUUGUUCGGAGCCCAGGGGGGUUGCUGGCUUGCCUGGUCUGUCCCUUCAGCACGUCUGCUAUCAUUGGCAGCCCCCUCGGGGGAGACACGGACCACCCCUCUCGCCCACCUUCUGCUGCGCCCGAGGGAGAGGUUGGCUGGGUGACUCCCCCGCCCCUCCUCUCAAGAUCCCCGGGUCACUCUGUCCUCCCAGAGUCCUCGGGAGCAGGUUUGCUGGCUUUCCCUGUGGUUCAGCUCCAAUCUGCAGUGGGAACAAGGCGAGGGCUAUAUUCAGGGUGUUGGUUUUUUUACCUUGUACUUGAAUGUUUUAAUUUUAUUUUUCAAAGAAACUUACAUUUAUUUAUACAUGUAUGUGGUUCAACUACACAUGCAUGUGGUACAGAAUUCGAGAAUACCUGCCUCCCCCGCCUUCAAGCCUCCCAGCUCUCCUCCCCAGAGGUUUUUAUUUAUUUAUGUAAUCUCUACACCGAACGUGGGACUCGAACUAACGCCCCUGAGAUCAGGAGUCACAUGUUCCUCCAACCGAGCCAACCAGUCUCACUUGGAUUUGUCCCAGAUCACCUGCCCCGAUUGAAGGCUGGGAAGAUCUAUCACUGUGUUUACUCCCCGGAAUACAGCCACGGAGCCCAGGUCGAGGGCCCAAGCCUUUUAGGGAGAGAACAAGAGAGCAGUGGGGGCUCAGCGUGCCACCUCCCCACUCCUGGAGGCCGUAGGAUGAGAAGGUCAAAGACAGGCCUGGUGAAGACAAUCAAUCUAGUGGCCAAAUAGACAAAAACUGCUCUGGGUGGGUGACAUGAUCGAGACAAGCUUCCACCUCAGGGCCUUUGCAUGUGCUGUUCGUGCUGCCUGAUGUUCUCUCCUCUCAUAUUUCUAUAUGGCUCGCUCCCUCACGUCUUUGCUUAACCGGCCCCUGCUCAGUCAGACUUUCCCUGGCCACCCUUUUUAAAUCGAAGCUCCCUCCCCCUCCCAUUUCCCUGCUUUAUUUGUCUCCAUAGAACUUCCUGCUAUCUGAUAUACUGAGUUCUUUCCCUCUCCCCCCACUCCCUUCCUUCCUUCCUUCCACUGGCUGCCUCCUUUAAUAGAAUAUGAGAACCAUGGCAAUUGUGUUUACAGAUGUAUCUCUGGUUCUCUCUUGCUGUGUAACAGAUCACCCUAAAAACUCAGCAGCUUCUUAUUAUCUCCACAGUGUCUCUGAGCCAAGAGUCCUAACAAGAUUAUAGUCAUCUCAGAGCCUGACUGGGGCUGGAGGGCUGCGCCCAAACUCACUCAUGUGGUUGUCGUUGACAGGCCUCAGGUCUGCACCGGCUGCUGGCCUGAGGCUUCAUUUCCUUGCCUGUGAGCUUCCCCAUGGGGCUGUCCACAGCCCGGCAACUGAGGGAGUGACCCCCAAAAGGAGGAGAGCAAGAGAGCGGGAGAGCGCCCAAGACGAAGCGCAGUCUGUCAUAACCCACACUGGAAGGGCUGUGCCUUCACUUCUGCCCCCCGCCACGGGUCACUCACAACCACCCUGGCACAGUAUGGGAGGGGCCCGCGGGAGGAUGUGGGUGCCAGGAUGUGGGCAGCAUCGAAGCCAUCUUGGAGGCCGGCUACCAAGCCCCCACACAGCCCUGGCAUAUAGAAGAUGCUCAAGAAAUCGGAGAAAGAAAGAAUGAAGGUAGGAAUGACUCCAGCAGAAUGCGUCUAGGCUUCGUACCCACAGGGAGCUAAGAGCCCUGACCACUGCCCCAUCCCUGAAGGAUCUUAAACACAUUGAGCUUUCCUCACCCCUCACCCCACAUCCACCACCACCUCUCCCCAGCCGGGUGACCUUGGGCAAGUUCCUCAACUCAGGGGCCUGCUGUGAGGAUUUGAAAAGACAAGGAGGGGGGCACCUGGGUGGGGGCUCAGUUGGUUGGGUGACUGCCUUUGGCUCAGGUCAUGAUCCUGGAGUCCCGGGAUCGAGUCCCGCAUCGGGCUCCCUGCUCAGCAGGGAGUCUGCUUCUCCCUCUGACCCUCCCCCUCUCAU